rnacentral:lncRNA from 1 species
GCACCAAACCACUAUAAAUCUCUUGUGUUUGUUGUGUUUGCAUCUCUUUAUUCAUUCAUUAUGCUUUAUACUUGCUUAUUUAUCAUUUGUGGUUGAUUUUAUUUUCUUAACUAAUCAAUUUACUCCACUCAAUAAGUAUAUCACAUUAUUUGAGUGUACUAAUUAUAAAAUUUUAAAAAGAUCCAAUUCACCCCCCUCUUGGGCUCCAUAUUUGGGCAACAUAUUUCAAACAGCGAACUUAAAUCUACUAAAGCCAACAUACACAGCAAGGAUCUAAAUGGCUAGGGAUCAAGAGAACAUGCAGUCAAACCCAGUCACCUCGCUGCGAAUAGCC